CCGAAGGGGAGCGGCAGACGGGUGAGUACGCGUGGGAAUCUACCUAGCUCUACGGAAUAACUCAGGGAAACUUGAACUAAUACCGUAUACGCCCUUCGGGGGAAAGAUUUAUCGGAGUUGGAUGAGCCCGCGUCUGAUUAGCUAGUUGGUGGGGUAAAGGCCUACCAAGGCGACGAUCAGUAGCUGGUCUGAGAGGAUGAUCAGCCACACUGGGACUGAGACACGGCCCAGACUCCUACGGGAGGCAGCAGUGGGGAAUAUUGGACAAUGGGCGCAAGCCUGAUCCAGCCAUGCCGCGUGAGUGAUGAAGGCCCUAGGGUUGUAAAGCUCUUUCACCGGUGAAGAUAAUGACGGUAACCGGAGAAGAAGCCCCGGCUAACUUCGUGCCAGCAGCCGCGGUAAUACGAAGGGGGCUAGCGUUGUUCGGAAUUACUGGGCGUAAAGCGCACGUAGGCGGACCAUUAAGUCAGGGGUGAAAUCCCGGGGCUCAACCCCGGAACUGCCUUUGAUACUGGUGGUCUCGAGUUCGAGAGAGGUGAGUGGAAUUCCGAGUGUAGAGGUGAAAUUCGUAGAUAUUCGGAGGAACACCAGUGGCGAAGGCGGCUCACUGGCUCGAUACUGACGCUGAGGUGCGAAAGCGUGGGGGAGCAAACAGGAUUAGAUACCCUGGUAGUCCACGCCGUAAACGAUGGAAGCUAGCCGUUGGCAGGUUUACCUGUCGGUGGCGCAGCUAACGCAUUAAGCUCCCGCCUGGGGAGUCGGUCC
rnacentral:rRNA from 1 species